AGUGCCCACGGGACGCAGCAGUAGGGAAUCUUCCACAAUGGGCGAAAGCCUGAUAGAGCAACGCCGCGUGGGUGAAGAAGGUCUUCGGAUCGUAAAACCCUGUUGUUAGAGAAGAAAGUGCGUGAGAGUAACUGUUCACGUUUCGACGGUAUCUAACCAGAAAGCCACGGCUAACUACGUGCCAGCAGCCGCGGUAAUACGUAGGUGGCAAGCGUUAUCCGGAUUUAUUGGGAGUAAAGGGAACGCAGGCGGGCUUUUAAGUCUGAUGUGAAAGCCUUCGG
rnacentral:rRNA from 1 species